rnacentral:rRNA from 1 species
AGUGAACGCUGGCGGUAGGCCUAACACAUGCAAGUCGAACGGCAGCACAGUAAGAGCUUGCUCUUACGGGUGGCGAGUGGCGGACGGGUGAGGAAUACAUCGGAAUCUACUUUUUCGUGGGGGAUAACGUAGGGAAACUUACGCUAAUACCGCAUACGACCUACGGGUGAAAGCAGGGGAUCUUCGGACCUUGCGCGAUUGAAUGAGCCGAUGUCGGAUUAGCUAGUUGGCGGGGUAAAGGCACACCAAGGCGACGAUGCGUAGCUGGUCUGAGAGGAUGAUCAGCCACACUGGAACUGAGACACGGUCCAGACUCCUACGGGAGGCAGCAGUGGGGAAUAUUGGGCAAUGGGCGCAAGCCUGAUCCAGCCAUACCGCGUGGGUGAAGAAGGCCUUCGGGUUGUAAAGCCCUUUUGUUGGGAAAGAAAAGCAGUAGGUUAAUACCCCGAUGUUCUGACGGUACCCAAAGAAUAAGCACCGGCUAACUUCGUG